rnacentral:rRNA from 1 species
GAUGAACGCUGGCGGCGUGCCUAAUACAUGCAAGUCGAGCGAACGGAAGAGAAGCUUGCUUCUCUGAUGUUAGCGGCGGACGGGGGAGUAACACGUGGAUAACCUACCUAUAAGACUGGGAUAACUUCGGGAAAACGGAGCUAAUACCGGAUGAUAUUUUGAACCGCAUGGUUCAAAAGUGAAAGACGGUCUUGCUGUCACUUAUAGAUGGAUCCGCGCUGCAUUAGCUAGUUGGUAAGGUAACGGCUUACCAAGGCAACGAUGCAUAGCCGACCUGAGAGGGUGAUCGGCCACACUGGAACUGAGACACGGUCCAGACUCCUACGGGAGGCAGCAGUAGGGAAUCUUCCGCAAUGGGCGAAAGCCUGACGGAGCAACCCCGCGUGAGUGAUGAAGGUCUUCGGAUCGUAAAACUCUGUUAUUAGGGAAGAACAUAUGUGUAAGUAACUGUGCACAUCUUGACGGUACCUAAUCAGAAAGCCACGGCUAACUACGUG